rnacentral:misc_RNA from 1 species
GAUGAAGAACGUAGCGAAAUGCGAUAAGUAAUGUGAAUUGCAGAAUUCAGUGAAUCAUCGAAUCUUUGAACGCACCUUGCGCCCUUUGGCUAUUCCGAAGGGCAUGCCUGUUUGAGUAUCAUGAACACCUCAACUCUCAUGGGUUUGCCAUGAUGAGCUUGGACUUUGGGGGUCUUGCUGGCCUAUGGUCAGCUCCUCUCAAAUGGAUCAGCUUGCCAGUGUUUGGUGGCACCACAGGUGUGAUAACUAUCUACGCUUGUGGCUUUCCACCAGGUAACCUUCAGUGAUGAAGGUUCGCUGGGGCUUAUAAAUGUCUCUCCUCAGGGGAGACGGCUUUUUUGAAUGUUUGAUCUCAAAUCAGGUAGGACUACCCGCUGAACUUAAGCAUAUCAAUAAGCGGAGGA